rnacentral:tRNA from 1 species
GUGGGUAUAGCUCAGUGGUAGAGUGCCUGCUUAGCAUGCAUGAGGUCCUAGGUUUAAUCCUCAGUACCUCCA